AAUCACUCGGCAACAGCCGCAGUACAGAAAUGUUCAUUAAUGAUCAACAAAAUGAGAAUCUCAGAGAAAAUGGAGAUCGGGAAAGUAAAACAAGACAGUGUGUCUAAGCCACAACAUUCUGUUCCAAAAUUGACUAAUAGAAGGUCUUUUCUGAUCGCUCAGCCACAUCCCCUCAUAUACCUUCAGUCAUGCACUCCAAGGUAUGGCGAUGUCUUCUAGCAUUGUGGCUUUGCCCCCUUUUGGAUGGCCAACUUCCAACUGAGCCUGGAAUGAACUGUCAAACCAUCCAAUCCGGGGCACACUGUUCCUGUUAUACCGGGCCCUCACAGGUCAGGAGGGAGAUUGAAGACUCGGAUUCAUUCGCUG